CCGGUUGAUCCUGCCGGAGGUUACUGCUAUCGGUGUCCGAUUAAGCCAUGCGAGUUGAGAGGGGUAAGCCCUCGGCAUACUGCUCAGUAACACGCGGACAACCUGCCCUUGGGUCUGGGAUAACCCCGGGAAACUGGGACUAAUACCGGAUAGAUUAGAGAUACUGGAAUGUUCUCUGGUCCAAAACUCCGGUGCCCAAGGAUGGGUCUGCGGCCUAUCAGGUAGUAGUGGGUGUAACGUUCCUACUACCCAGCGACGGGUAAGGGUUGUGAGAGCAAGAUCCCUGAGAUGGAUUCUGAGACAUGAAUCCAGGCCCUACGGGGUGCAGCAGGCGCGAAAACUUUACACUGCGGGAAACCGCGAUAAGGGGACCCCGAGUGCCAGCACCUAGUGCUGGCUGUCCUACUGUCUAAAUAACAGUGGUUAGCAAGGGCCGGGCAAGACCGGUGUCAGCCGCCGCGGUAACACCGGCCGGCCCGAGCGGUACUGUCAUUAUUGGGUUUAAAGGGUCCGUAGCCGGCUUAUUAAGUCUUUUGGGAAAUCUGGCGACUCAAUCGUCGGGCGUCCAAGAGAUACUGGUAGGCUUGGGACCGGGAGAGGUGGGAGGUACUCCAGGGGUAGGGGUGAAAUCUCGUAAUCCUUGGGGGACCACCGAUGGCGAAGGCAUCCCACCAGAACGGGUCCGACGGUGAGGGACGAAAGCUGGGGGCACGAACCGGAUUAGAUACCCGGGUAGUCCCAGCUGUAAACGAUGCUCGCUAGGUGUCAGGUGCGGUGCGACCGCAUCUGGUGCCGCAGUGAAAACUUGAAGCGAGUCACCUGGGAAGUACGGUCGCAAGGCUGAAACUUAAAGGAAUUGGCGGGA
rnacentral:rRNA from 1 species